UACGGAGGGUGCAAGCGUUGUCCGGAUUUAUUGGGUUUAAAGGGUGCGUAGGCGGCUUUUUAAGUCAGCGGUGAAAGACAACAGCUCAACUGUUGCAGUGCCAUUGAUACUGAAGAGCUUGAGUACAGAUGAGGUAGGCGGAAUUUAUGGUGUAGCGGUGAAAUGCAUAGAUACCAUAAAGAACACCUAUUGCGAAGGCAGCUUACUAGCUGUAACUGACGCUGAGG
rnacentral:rRNA from 1 species